CCCUUAGAUGUUCUGGGCCGCACGCGCGCUACACUGACGAAUGCAACGAGCUUAUAACCUUGGCCGAAAGGUCUGGGUAAUCUCCAAAUUUCGUCGUGAUGGGGAUAGAUUAUUGCAAUUAUUAAUCUUCAACGAGGAAUGCCUAGUAAGCGCAAGUCAUCAGCUUGCGUUGAUUACGUCCCUGCCCUUUGUACACACCGCCCGUCGCUCCUACCGAUUGAAUGGUCCGGUGAAGCGCUCGGACCGCGGCCUCUUGACGGUUCGCUGUCGAUUGGCUGUGGGAAGUUCGUUAAACCUUAUCAUUUAGAGGAAGGAGAANUCGUAGCA
rnacentral:rRNA from 1 species